rnacentral:ncRNA from 2 species
GAACACAACGCGGGAGAGCGCACGACCCCCGGGUCGGCCACCGAAGGAGCAAGCUUCCCCGCCAAUCUCUCAGGUAGACGUACCGCGUCGUGUCG